rnacentral:lncRNA from 1 species
UUCUAUGAUAGCUCAAAACCUUAAAUGUUCUCUACUAUUUUACAGUUUGGGAAGAUUUUUAAGGCAAUUUGUAUCUUUAAAGAAAAGAUCAUCAAUUUCUGAUGCUGUUCACAACCACAAAGCCUGAGAAGCUGUUAUGAAGAGAGCUGGGGGAGCCAGAUUAUUCCUUUCUAUAAUUGAAGAGAUACCCAGUCAUUGAAAUAUAUGCCCUUCUCUGUGACUGACAGUGGCUAUGAUUGGAUGUUAGCAAUGGGCCCCAUGGAAGAUGAAUUCAGGUUACAAAAGGUGAUUGACAGGAAGAGAAGGUCUGCUCACUGUUACAACAGAGAUGAACUUGAAACUGAUUGACAGACGUCUCCUCUAGACUGUUUUUUUUCUCAUUGUGAUGAUACCAGUGGUGAUGAAGAAUAGAUGAUAAGAGUUCAUAGGAAGAUAGAUACCUUUAACUGUCAUUGUCAAAGUCAGAUGGCACAACGGAGACACGCCAACCAAAAUAAAGCCAGGGCUGACUGAACAGACUUUUCCUUUUAUCCAUUCACUUAACAGAAAAUUAAGGACGAGCACUUACAACACAAAGACCCCUCCCUAGUCUGUAUUCGGAGAGCCCAGUCCUUCCUUAGAAAAUACAGUAUUCCCAACACUUCACACUACACACAUUGUAAAUAAGCAGCAAAUACAUGUUGAGUUAAAGAAAGUAAAGAUACGGAGAAUAUACUCUCCUUCAAAAACAAAGAAGAGAAACAUUAACAUAAGUUGACUAUUUGCAGUGUUUCAGGUGCAGUGAAUUAUAUGGAUGGCCGGAAAGAGGCCAAACACGUGCACACUGUAGGUUCCAGGGAUACACACACAUGGCCCCCAGAGAAGAAUUAGAUGCCACAGGUCUCAGUGCACAUGCCUUUGCCCUGCUCAGGUGAGUUUCUCUGCACCUGGCCACAUCUGGAGCUUGAUUUUGUGUUCCCCUAAAGUCCACUUAGACUUCUAUCAUUAUCUGGAAAAAUUUGCACAAUAUGUGUGAUUCGGUUUGACUAUGCCCCCAUCCAAAAUCUCAUCUUGAAUUGUAAUCCUCAUAAUCUCCACGGGUAAAGGAAGAGACCAGGUGGAGGUAAUUGAAUCAUGGAGGUGGUUUUCCCCGUGCUGUUCUCGUGAUUGUGAGUGAGUUCUCACGAUAUCUGAGGGUUUUGAAGCGUUUGGUAGUUCUUCCUGCAUUCAUUUUCCCUCCUGCCGUCUUGUGAAGAAAGUGCCUUGCUUCCCCUUCGCUUUCCGCCACGAUGGAAAGUUUCCUGGGGCCUCUCCAGCC